AGAGUUUGAUCCUGGCUCAGAUUGAACGCUGGCGGCAGGCCUAACACAUGCAAGUCGAGCGGUAACAGAUCCAGCUUGCUGGAUGCUGACGAGCGGCGGACGGGUGAGUAAUGCAUAGGAAUCUGCCCGGUAGUGGGGGAUAACCUGGGGAAACCCAGGCUAAUACCGCAUACGUCCUACGGGAGAAAGGGGGCUUCGGCUCCCGCUAUCGGAUGAGCCUAUGUCGGAUUAGCUAGUUGGUGAGGUAACGGCUCACCAAGGCCACGAUCCGUAGCUGGUCUGAGAGGAUGAUCAGCCACAUCGGGACUGAGACACGGCCCGAACUCCUACGGGAGGCAGCAGUGGGGAAUAUUGGACAAUGGGCGAAAGCCUGAUCCAGCCAUGCCGCGUGUGUGAAGAAGGCCCUCGGGUUGUAAAGCACUUUCAGCGAGGAAGAACGCCUAGCGGUUAAUACCCGCUAGGAAAGACAUCACUCGCAGAAGAAGCACCGGCUAACUCCGUGCCAGCAGCCGCGGUAAUACGGAGGGUGCAAGCGUUAAUCGGAAUUACUGGGCGUAAAGCGCGCGUAGGUGGCUUGAUAAGCCGGUUGUGAAAGCCCCGGGCUCAACCUGGGAACGGCAUCCGGAACUGUCAAGCUAGAGUGCAGGAGAGGAAGGUAGAAUUCCCGGUGUAGCGGUGAAAUGCGUAGAGAUCGGGAGGAAUACCAGUGGCGAAGGCGGCCUUCUGGACUGACACUGACACUGAGGUGCGAAAGCGUGGGUAGCAAACAGGAUUAGAUACCCUGGUAGUCCACGCCGUAAACGAUGUCGACCAGCCGUUGGGUGCCUAGCGCACUUUGUGGCGAAGUUAACGCGAUAAGUCGACCGCCUGGGGAGUACGGCCGCAAGGUUAAAACUCAAAUGAAUUGACGGGGGCCCGCC
rnacentral:rRNA from 1 species